CAGGGAUCAAACCUGCAACCUCAUGGUUGGGUGUGAAGCUGUCAGACCCAACAACUGGCAAAGAAAGCCAUCUCUGCAAGGGCAGCCUCUCUGCAAAGGUGUAACAGGAUGCUUUUGAAGAUCAUUCCCAGAACCAGGAUUAUUGAGUCAAUGGGUGUGGACUUCUUCAUGGCUCUUGGCACACAGUUCCAUAUCACUUUCCCAGAGGUAUGUACCAAUAUACAAAGUUUCCUGGCAGUCUACGUGUGCCCCAAUUUCAUUACAACGUAACCUGCCUUAAGGACUGUCGUUUUAAAAAGUGAGCCAUCUACAUAUGUAAAAUGGUGAGUUUUCAAGUUGGCUAAAAUUUGUUUUUCUGUGAGUUCUGUGAGUAUUUUGGUGCUGUUUAUUACUUGUAUUCCUCCUUACAUUCAUAGAUUAUAUUUAGUGUCUAGAAUGGGUAUUAUUAUCUUCAUUUUAUACAUCAAAACCCCAGUCAAAAGGGUUAGGGGAAGUUGUCCAAGUUCACGGAGUUGGUCACAUUAGAAGGAAACUGUUUGACCCGCCUAGUCCAGUACUCUUUCCACCCCACCCCAUAGCUCAGCCUGCCUUAGCUCAGACAGGCUCCGGGCUGAAAUCAGCUUACAGGAUGCAGCUCCCACCCAGGAGCAAAGGAGGGGUUGGCUCAAAAGGCCUCCCUCUGAGCUCUGUAGUUAAUGCCCCUCUGGCUCCAAAUUUUCAGCCCAGGUCUAAAGAGAUAUGUAGAGCAGCCCCCCAAAAGGAUCUCAACACCUUAAUCUCCUUCCCUGCCUCUUUUGGUCUGGGUCCUGUGGGAUUUCACCUCUGAUACAUUCCCUAGAGUAGUGAUUUCCAGACCUGGCUGCUUCCCCAAAUCACUUGGGAGAACCCUUCCAUUUCCCAUGCCCUGAUUCCUGGCCAUGGAAUCCGAAUCUUCAGGGGUAGAGUUCCCAUUGUGGAUCAGCGGGCUGAGAACCCAACUAGUCUCCAUGAGGAUGUGGGUUCAGUCCUU